rnacentral:rRNA from 1 species
AACGCUGGCGGCGUGGAUUAGGCAUGCAAGUCGACGCGAAAGUUCCCUUCGGGGAGCGAGUAGAGUGGCGAAAGGGUGAGUAAUGCUUGGAUGACCUGCCCUCGAGACGGGGACAACAGUUCGAAAGGACUGCUAAUACCCGAUAGUCCGGUUUAGAUGCGUCUAGAUCGGUAAAUGGUGCUUCCGCUCGAGGAGGGGUUCAAGUCCUAUCAGCUUGUUGGUGAGGUAACGGCUCACCAAGGCGAUGACGGGUAGCCGGACUGAGAGGUUGGCCGGCCACAUGGGAACUGAGACACUGUCCUGACUCCUACGGGAGGCUGCAGUCGAGAAUCUUCUGCAAUGGGCGAAAGCCUGACAGAGCGACGCCGCGUGGAGGAUGAAGGCCCUCGGGUCGUAAACUCCUGUCACAUGUUAUGAAACGCACAGGUCUACCUGUGCGCUGACAAAAGCAUGAGAGGAAGUCACGGCUAACUUCGUG